GGAUGUGAGGGCUAUCUGGCUGCAACAUCUGUCACCCCACUGAUCGCCAGGAUUGAUUUGGCUGAUCUGACUAGCUAGAUGGGUGUCCCAUUCCUCCCUCACCACUCCAUGUGUGUCCCUCCCGAAGCUGCAUGCUCAAAGAGAUAACCAAAUAGGGAUAUUUUGACAGUUUCUGUUAUGUGGUUUAUACGUUUAUGAUUUUUCGUAUGUUGAACACCCCUGCAUCCCUGGAAUGAAGCCUACUUGUCGUGGGAAUACAUCUUUU
rnacentral:sRNA from 1 species